rnacentral:rRNA from 1 species
UACGAAGGGGGCUAGCGUUGUUCGGAUUUACUGGGCGUAAAGCGCACGUAGGCGGAUCUUUAAGUCAGAGGUGAAAUCCCGAGGCUCAACCUCGGAACUGCCUUUGAUACUGCAAAUCUCGAGUCCGGAAGAGGUGAGUGGAAUUCCUAGUGUAGAGGUGAAAUUCGUAGAUAUUAGGAAGAACACCAGUGGCGAAGGCGGCUCACUGGUCCGGUACUGACGCUGAGGUGCGAAAGCGUGGGGAGCAAACAGG